GCACNACCGGUGGAGCAUGUGGUUUAAUUCNAUGCAACGCGAAGAACCUCACCUNNUCUUGACAUCCACAGNACUUGGCAGAGAUGCCUNGGUGCCUUCGGGAACUGUGAGACAGGUGCUGCAUGGCUGUCGUCAGCUCGUGUUGUGAAAUGUUGGGUUAAGUCCCGCAACGAGCGCAACCCUNAUCCUUUGUUGCCANCGGUUAGGCCGGGAACUCAAAGGAGACUGCCAGUGAUAAACUGGAGGAAGGUGGGGAUGACGUCAAGUCAUCAUGGCCCUUACGACCAGGGCUACACACGUGCUACAAUGGCGCAUACAAAGAGAAGCGAACUCGCGAGAGCAAGCGGACCUCAUAAAGUGCGUCGUAGUCCGGAUUGGAGUCUGCAACUCGACUCCAUGAAGUCGGAAUCGCUAGUAAUCGUGAAUCAGAAUGUACNCGGUGAAUACGUUUCCCGGG
rnacentral:rRNA from 1 species